rnacentral:rRNA from 1 species
CACAGAGAGCUUGCUCUUGGGUGACGAGUGGCGGACGGGUGAGUAAUGUCUGGGAAACUGCCCGAUGGAGGGGGAUAACUACUGGAAACGGUAGCUAAUACCGCAUAACGUCGCAAGACCAAAGUGGGGGACCUUCGGGCCUCACACCAUCGGAUGUGCCCAGAUGGGAUUAGCUAGUUGGUGAGGUAAUGGCUCACCAAGGCGACGAUCCCUAGCUGGUCUGAGAGGAUGACCAGCCACACUGGAACUGAGACACGGUCCAGACUCCUACGGGAGGCAGCAGUGGGGAAUAUUGCACAAUGGGCGCAAGCCUGAUGCAGCCAUGCCGCGUGUAUGAAGAAGGCCUUCGGGUUGUAAAGUACUUUCAGCGAGGAGGAAGGUGUUGUGGUUAAUAACCGCAGCAAUUGACGUUACUCGCAGAAGAAGCACCGGCUAACUCCGUGCCAGCAGCCGCGGUAAUACGGAGGGUGCAAGCGUUAAUCGGAAUUACUGGGCGUAAAGCGCACGCAGGCGGUCUGUCAAGUCGGAUGUGAAAUCCCCGGGCUCAACCUGGGAACUGCAUUCGAAACUGGCAGGCUAGAGUCUUGUAGAGGGGGGUAGAAUUCCAGGUGUAGCGGUGAAAUGCGUAGAGAUCUGGAGGAAUACCGGUGGCGAAGGCGGCCCCCUGGACAAAGACUGACGCUCAGGUGCGAAAGCGUGGGGAGCAAACAGGAUUAGAUACCCUGGUAGUCCACGCCGUAAACGAUGUCUAUUUGGAGGUUGUUCCCUUGAGGAGUGGCUUCCGGAGCUAACGCGUUAAAUAGACCGCCUGGGGAGUACGGCCGCAAGGUUAAAACUCAAAUGAAUUGACGGGGGCCCGCACAAGCGGU